CCGUAGGGGAACCUGGCGGAAGGAUCAUUACCGAGUGCGGGCCCGCUCUGGGCCCAACCUCCCACCCGUGUCUCUUGCGUACUUUGUUGCUUUGGCGGGCCCACUGGGUCACUCCGGUCGCCGGGGAGCGCUAUGCUCCCGGGCCCGUGCCCGCCAGAGCACCCCUGUGAACCCUGAUGAAGAGAGGCUGUCUGAGUCCCACGAUAAUCGUUAAAACUUUCAACAAUGGAUCUCUUGGUUCCGGCAUCGAUGAAGAACGCAGCGAAAUGCGAUAAGUAAUGUGAAUUGCAGAAUUCCGUGAAUCAUCGAAUCUUUGAACGCACAUUGCGCCCCCUGGCAUUCCGGGGGGCAUGCCUGUCCGAGCGUCAUUUCUGCCCUCAAGCGCGGCUUGUGUGUUGGGCGUGGUCCCCCUGGCUUUGGCGGGGACCUGCCCGAAAGGCAGCGGCGACGUCCCGCCUAGUCCUCGAGCGUAUGGGGCUCUGUCACGCGCUCGGGAGGGACUGGUGGGCGUUGGUCACCCCUUAUUCUUUCUACGGUUGACCUCGGAUCAGGUAGGUUUGAU
rnacentral:rRNA from 1 species